GAAUAUUGGACAAUGGGGGCAACCCUGAUCCAGCCAUGCCGCGUGUGUGAAGAAGGCUUUCGGGUUGUAAAGCACUUUCAGUGAGGAGGAAAACCUUCUGGUUAAUACCCAGGAGGCUUGACGUUACUCACAGAAGAAGCACCGGCUAACUCCGUGCCAGCAGCCGCGGUAAUACGGAGGGUGCAAGCGUUAAUCGGAAUUACUGGGCGUAAAGCGCGCGUAGGUGGUUUGAUAAGCGAGAUGUGAAAGCCCCGGGCUUAACCUGGGAACGCCAUUUCGAACUGUCAGGCUAGAGUGUGGUAGAGGGUAGUGGAAUUUCCUGUGUAGCGGUGAAAUGCGUAGAUAUAGGAAGGAACACCAGUGGCGAAGGCGGCUACCUGGACCAACACUGACACUGAGGUGCGAAAGCGUGGGGAGCAAACAGG
rnacentral:rRNA from 1 species